UUCGCCCUUCGGUUGAUCCUGCCGGACCUGACUGCUAUCGGAUUGAUACUAAGCCAUGCGAGUCAUUGUAGCAAUAGCAAGGCAUACGGCUCAGUAACGCGUAGUCAACCGAACCUAUGGACGGGAAUAACCUCGGGAAACUGAGAAUAAUGCCCGAUAGAACACUAUACCUGGAAUGGUUUGUGUUCCAAAUGAUUUAUCGCCGUAGGAUGGGACUGCGGCCUAUCAGUUUGUUGGUGAGGUAAUGGCCCACCAAGACUAUUACAGGUACGGGCUCUGAGAGGAGUAGCCCGGAGAUGGGUACUGAGACACGGACCCAGGCCCUAUGGGGCGCAGCAGGCGAGAAAACUUUGCAAUGUGCGAAAGCACGACAAGGUUAAUCCGAGUGGUUUCUGCUAAAGGAGCCUUUUGUUAGUCCUAGAAACACUAACGAAUAAGGGGUGGGCAAGUUCUGGUGUCAGCCGCCGCGGUAAAACCAGCACCUCAAGUGGUCAGGAUGAUUAUGGGGUCUAAAGCAUCCGUAGCCGGCUCUGUAAGUUUUCGGUUAAAUCUGUACGCUUAACGUACAGGCUGCCGGGAAUACUGCAUAGCUAGGGAGUGGGAGAGGUAGACGGUACUCGGAAGGAAGGG
rnacentral:rRNA from 1 species